rnacentral:rRNA from 1 species
GACAACGCUGGCGGCGUGGAUUAGGCAUGCAAGUCGAACGGUAGGAUACCUUCGGGUAUCUGAGAGUGGCGAACGGGUGAGUAACACGUAGGUGAUCUACCCUCAAGAUUGGGACAACCCAGGGAAACUUGGGCUAAUACCGGAUGAAAGCAGCAGUGAUGUUGUUUGAAAGGUGGCGUAAGCUGCCGUUUGGGGAUGAGCCUGCGCUCUAUUAGUUAGUUGGCGGGGUAAAGGCCCACCAAGGCGAUGAUAGAUAGGCGGCCUUAACGGGUGGUCGCCCACACUGGGAUUGAGAUACGGCCCAGACUCCUACGGGAGGCAGCAGUCGAGAAUAGUCUACAAUGGCCGAAAGGCUGAUAGUGCGACGCCGCGUGAACGAAGAAGCCCUUCGGGGUGUAAAGUUCUUUUAUAUGUGAGCAGUGCUUUCUAUGUGAACAGCAUGGGGAGAGAGAUAUUAGCAUAUGAAUAAGCAACGGCUAACUCCGUG